AACGAACGCUGGCGGCAUGCCUAACACAUGCAAGUCGAACGAUACCUUCUGGUCUAGUUGCGCACGGGUUCGUAACGCGUGGGAACCUUCCCUUAGGUUCGGAAUACCUCCCCGAAAGGGGUGCUAAUACCGGAUAAUGUCUUCGGCCCAAAGAUUUAUCGCCUUUGGAUGGGCCCGCUUUGGAUUAGCUAGUUGGUAGGGUAAAAGCCUACCAAGGCGACGAUCCAUAGCUGGUCUGGGAGGAUGAUCAGCAACACUGGGACUGAGACACGGCCCAGACUCCUACGGGAGGCAGAAGGGGGGAAUAUUGGACAAUGGGCGAAAGACUGAGCCAGCAAUGCCGCGUGAGUGAUGAAGGAGUGAGGGUUGUAAAGCUCUUUUACCCGGGAAGAUAAUGACAGUACCGGGAGAAUAAGCGACGGCUAACUCCGUG
rnacentral:rRNA from 1 species